CGCUCACCAAGCGGGACAACCUGUCGGCCCUAGCAUUUUCGCUUCUGGGGACCUGCUGGAUGUCGACACUGCCGAGAUCGGGAAUGAGUGCUUGCACCUUCCGGACGUAGUUCUGCAUGGUCGGGCUCCGGGCCUCGAACUCCCCACGGACCUGCCCGACCACCAGCUGGGAGUCGGUGAAGACCUUCAAACGCCGGAUGCCGA
rnacentral:lncRNA from 1 species